rnacentral:lncRNA from 1 species
AAUUUAUCUUACCAACUAUCUUAACGUGUAAAAUUUAGACUAGUGACCUAUCAAAAUGAGCAAGUCUUCAAUACAGUUAGCAUUAACAUGAUUAAGAAACUACUUCCUUUGAUCCUACAAAAACAGAUGCCAACAAUGACAACUUGUCAGAUUUAAAUGUGUUUGGUGAAUUUAUUUCACUUUAUCAUCACUUUCUUCGUCUGUUGAAACAUUUAAGAUUUUUUCUCAGUACUGUUUUGUUUUUCUAAAGGGACGUAACACCACUACUAACCGUGUAUGAAAUAAGCCCCGCCUCCCAACUAACCUAA